rnacentral:rRNA from 1 species
UACGUAGGGUGCAGGCGUUAAUCGGAAUUACUGGGCGUAAAGCGUGCGCAGGCGGUUUGCUAAGACAGGUGUGAAAUCCCCGGGCUUAACCUGGGAACUGCGCUUGUAACUGGCAAGCUGGAGUGUGGCAGAGGGGGGUGGAAUUCCACGUGUAGCAGUGAAAUGCGUAGAGAUGUGGAGGAACACCGAUGGCGAAGGCAGCCUCCUGGGCCAACACUGACGCUCAUGCACGAAAGCGUGGGAGCAAACAGG